rnacentral:lncRNA from 1 species
AUUGAUAAUUAAAAAUAAAACGCAAUCGCUAAAAUGUGUUUUUAACUAUUAACUCAAUAAAUCGACUCCAUUUGGAAAGGAGGAGAAGAGAGCGGCACACGUAGUUACGCUUCAGACCUCAAAAUUUCGACUGAAAAAGCAGUUACACAAAGAGAAGAGAAGAAGAACGAAAACAAAUAACGAAGAAAAUUAUGGGAUCGACUGAUUCAGAAUUGGAUUCAAUUUUUCAGGAUAACAAGCGUCAUCGUAAUCGUCUUGUUCCGAUCGGUGGCUCAGCCGCUACGAUGUGGUAAAUCCGCAGUCUCAUCUGCAAGAACAGCCCAACGCAAUGUAGUAGCAUGGCUCUACCACAAGGCAUUAAGCUUACAAUUGAACCAGCAACUCUUUUUCAAGUUUCCUCGUUCAUUUGCUCCCCACCUUCCUAAAUUUGCUUUCAGUUUUCAAGUUUUACCCUUUAGGCAUGUUUUGAACAUUAUAUAGGACUUGUUUCAAGGUACAGGAUGUUACAGAUUACUCUAGGCGUAUAUGUCAAUGAUGGUAAUUCAGCCUCGUUAAUUGGAUCAAUAGCUGUUAUUAACUUAUGCUAUAUAUAUAACUUUAUAGGUUGGGCUUGAGCUUAAAUGUGAUAACCAACUUCUCCUAUUUCCAGAAAAAGCAAUAAUGCAACUUUGCAAAACCUUGUCUGAUUAACUGUAUGGAGUGUUCGUAUAUGUUUAUGAUUAUAAGGCGAGGUCAUUUGGUCUUCUGUUAUGAAUUCUUGAGAAGUGAUGCAUUUUCUGCUGCCUUACUUUCCUGUGAGAUAUCGUUCAUGUUAAUCUUCCCAAUCCCGGUUGAUCCUCCACUGUUUCAAUUUUUUGGCUAAAUUGUCUCUGAACACUCUCAACUCAUAUUCUGUUUGUGCAAUUUAUGACUUUGCGAAAUUUCAGGUGCAUUUCUCACUGCAGGAGUGCUCACUGCCGGACUCAUUAGUUUCAAGCGGGGAAAUUCUCAAUUAGGUCAGCAACUAAUGAGAGCUAGAGUUCUUGUUCAAGGUGGUACAGUCGCACUGAUGGUUGGUUCAGCAUAUUACUAUGGAGAUAAUUUCAAGCGCGCUGGAUGACUGACUGACUGACUACCAAACGACUCCCUCAUUCGUCUGUCAUGAGUUGAUUUUCUGCUGGGAAAAAAUGAUUCCAUAUCUUGCUAGGAUGCAGUUUCUUUACAUGGCUGUCAUUGCCACCCCAAUCACAUAAGAAAGAAAAUUAGAGGAAAAAGUAAUAACAGAGUGAAACAUAAUGCUAAUGUUUAUGUAUUUUUCAAAAUUUAUGGGUUCUUGCUUUGUAUCUCAUUUGUGUCGUUUUAAUCUUUAUGUUAGUUGAAAUUGAUUAAUCUCUGUGUGGCUUAUGAGGUUCAAAUUCAACAAGAAGUAAAGAACUCUUGUUCGAAAAAGGAAAUAUUGAGUUUGAACUUCAUAAAUCGUUUAAAAAGAUUCAGCUAUUUUUCACAUCUAGAUUUAGACUAUAGUACAGUACGUAGGAGUAUUCCUAUUCGAAUGAUAUGUCACACCUUAUUUUUAGGCACAUUUUAAAUAGUCACUAUAUAUCACUCCCUCUUGUUCACCUUUACGUCGAAUUCAUAAACAAAUUUCUAAAUUUGUUGGGUUUUUUCCUUCAGUUACUUUAAUUACGUCAUUUUUCUAAUGAAUCAUUGAACACCCAUAAUUUGUUCUUUUUAAAAAUCGUUAGUUGAUUUAGAUCGAUUUUUCUAUUAUAUAUGUGUUCGUAUUGUAAUAUUUUUUUAUUAAAGAAUAAAGAUAAAUUGUGUUAGUCUCUUUUGUUUUCUAAUAUUUUCAAAUGAUUUGAAGUAAAAUAUAAUUAUUCUCAAAUAUUUUCG